GGAGUUUGCGUGUUCUCCCUGUGUUUGCGUGGGUUCUCUCAGGGUGUGCAUGUGGGUGUGAAUGUGUUUGUCUAUAUGUGGCCGUGCAACAGACUGGCAUCUUGCCCAGGGGGUACCCUGCCUUGCACUCUGUGACUGCGGAGAUAGGCUCCAGCACCCCCGCAACCCUUAAUUGGACUAAGCAGUUGAAGAUGAGUGAGUGA